rnacentral:rRNA from 1 species
CGUAGGGGGCGAGCGUUGUCCGGAAUCAUUGGGCGUAAAGCGUGCGCAGGCGGCUCCUUAAGUCAGAUGUGAAAGCCCCGGGCUUAACCUGGGAACUGCGUUUGAAACUGGGGAGCUGGAGUGUAGAAGAGGGGGGUGGAAUUCCAGGUGUAGCAGUGAAAUGCGUAGAUAUCGAGAGGAACACCUGCGGCGAAGGCGGGUUGCUGGGCCGACACUGACGCUGAGGCGCGAAAGCUAGGGGAGCAAACGGG